GCCUCCAUGUUUUCUCAUCUCCUUCCUAGAGUUUCUCCAAACCGUACCUUCUUCAAAAGCUUGAGUUUCAUGGUCUUAAGGAAAUCAAGUACUUUUCCUCUCAUCAAACCAAAGUUGGUUAGGUGAUGAGAAUGUGUCGUGCAGCAAGGAGUGGAAGGAUAUCCAUGGGCUUUUCUCGCCUAAGUUUUAGGAGGUCCCACGGCCAGCCUGUUGAGGUGGCAUGCUGACUAGCUGAUUACUACGAAGGCCAGUUCAGGUGGGAGUGUAGAGCCCUGACUGAAUAUUCAUCGCGUAGUCGGAGUCACCAACCGGUGAACCGAUGGGUCAACGUCAAGGGCAUGAGUAACUUUGAACCCGAUGUUCAGUAUUUUAGAGGAUUUGAAGUUGUAAACCGUAGUUGAGGCAAAAGGCUUUCUUCACUCUAUCUUUUUGUUAUAUUGUUUUAAUGUUUGCUUGCAUAUAUGAUUCCGCUCUAAACUAUUAUUUUUUUCCUUUUGGUAAAGUAUAUAUGUUGGUGAUUUGUUACUAUUUUUGUUGUUGGUAUCUUCUGCUGGGGUUGUGCUAAUUUCCCCUCACUGAGUAACUGUGGUUGCUCACCCCCUCUUUCCUCUCCCCAGGUGUCAGUUCAGUGAAGCAAUGCAGACGUGGUGUGCAUGGCAAGAGUUGGUUUUAGAGUAGUUACUUGAGUUAAUUAUGCAUGUUCUCAGUUAUUGGCGUGUAGAGUAUGGAAUCCCUUAAUAUAAGUAACUUGUUAACUUAUGUAUUCAUUUCUGUAUCUUAAAAACCCUUGUAUUAGUUGUGAUCUAAGUGUUGCAUGAGAGACCA